rnacentral:rRNA from 1 species
CGGCAGCGCGGGAGCAAUCCUGGCGGCGAGUGGCGAACGGGUGAGUAAUACAUCGGAACGUGCCCAAUCGUGGGGGAUAACGCAGCGAAAGCUGUGCUAAUACCGCAUACGAUCUACGGAUGAAAGCAGGGGAUCGCAAGACCUUGCGCGAAUGGAGCGGCCGAUGGCAGAUUAGGUAGUUGGUGGGGUAAAGGCUCACCAAGCCUUCGAUCUGUAGCUGGUCUGAGAGGACGACCAGCCACACUGGGACUGAGACACGGCCCAGACUCCUACGGGAGGCAGCAGUGGGGAAUUUUGGACAAUGGGCGAAAGCCUGAUCCAGCCAUGCCGCGUGCAGGAUGAAGGCCUUCGGGUUGUAAACUGCUUUUGUACGGAACGAAACGGCUCUUUCUAAUAAAGAGGGCUAAUGACGGUACCGUAAGAAUAAGCACCGGCUAACUACGUGCCAGCAGCCGCGGUAAUACGUAGGGUGCAAGCGUUAAUCGGAAUUACUGGGCGUAAAGCGUGCGCAGGCGGUAAUGUAAGACAGUUGUGAAAUCCCCGGGCUCAACCUGGGAACUGCAUCUGUGACUGCAUUGCUGGAGUACGGCAGAGGGGGAUGGAAUUCCGCGUGUAGCAGUGAAAUGCGU